rnacentral:lncRNA from 1 species
UGUAUACUUCUCAAAUUUGAAUUAAAAAGUUUUGAGUAGGCAAUAUACAUUUACACGGUUCAAACUUCAAAGGCACCAGUGAAUAUAGUAAAACGUUUUCCUUUACUGAUUCCCAGAUACUCUGUUCUCUUCCUUCACCUCCUCACCUCUAUUCUACUCCCACCCCAGACAUCAUCCGUUAUUAUGGUUUCUUGUACAUCGUGAAGUUUUCUGUGUAUAU